GCUGGUUGUCAUGGUAAUGACCAAUGGUAGGCGACCAGACUAAGGGGGAGGGGAGAUGGAUGAAAGGAGCUGCAGGGUCUGGACGAGAGUGAAUUUGUCCUGCUGCCUUCUGGGAUGCUCUUGGUCUCCCCUACCGCGCGCUCAGCUCCUGCUCUUAGAAGAGGACCUGGAGGUAUUUGGUACUCCCCUGUGGAAACGGAAGUUGGAACAGAGGAAACAGAGGAAACAGAAAUUCCUUGAGCAACCACAAUUCUCGGUAGCACCAGUUGGUGGAUGGUUCCAAACCCUUUCAGUGUCAAACUCCUGGAGUGUUCCAUUUCCUGAGGGAAAUUCUAUGCCAUUUUCAUGGAUGCUCUUGGAGUUCCCAGCCAGUGUAGAGGCGGUACGUAAGCAAGCAGAAGAAAGCUGCAGGUUGUAGAAGCUCAGACACGUUUAGGUGACGGAAUCCUUCCCACUGGCCUUGUGAGGGAGCAUUUCAUCUUUAGCAUCAAGAGCUGACUUGGUUGGGGACCUUUCCAACUUUGACUUCUGAAUUCUGUGAGAUGUCUGAAAAAGCACAGUAUGAGGCUCUUGGCUCCAAAAGCAGCAUUAAAUUUUCAGGAGAAACCGCUGCAUAAUGGGAGGAAGCUGCAAAGUGUGGGCUCUGGAGACAGACUGCCUAGAUUGAGUUCAUACUUCACCGUUUGUUUUCUGAGUGACCUUGGGCAAGUUACUUAAUUUCUCUGUGCAAUUUCUUCAUCUGUAUGACAUAAGAGCAGUACCCACUUCACUGGGUUGUUUUGAAGAUCAAAGUUCAUGGUGCAAAGAGUUAACAGGU
rnacentral:lncRNA from 1 species